rnacentral:tRNA from 1 species
CAAAGAAUAGUUUAAUUGAAAAUGCUAGCUUUGGGGGUUAGCGAUGGAGGUUCGAAUCCUUUUUCUUUGA